GGCGGCUCCCGCUUCAGCCUCGGCAGUGGCGUCGGCGACGGCGGUGUCGAGGCAGCCGCCAGCGUUCGGCCAAGUGUCAGCCGGCAGCGACGGCGCUAGAGCUGGGAGCUGGGGACGCGCGCGCCGGACCUUCCACAGCCUCCGCCCAGAGCCUGAGGCGCCGGGGCCGGGGGAGCCGGGGGGCGGGCGGGCGAGCGGGCCGGGGGGAGGGUGGGGGAUGGCGCGGACCCUGCGGCCGUCCCCGCUGUGUCCUGGAGGCGGCAAAGCACAACUUUCCUCCGCUUCUCUCCUCGGAGCCGGGCUCCUGCUGCAGCCCCCGACGCCACCUCCGCUGCUGCUGCUGCUCUUCCCGCUGCUGCUCUUCUCCAGGCUCUGUGGUGCCUUAGCUGGACCAAUUAUUGUGGAGCCACAUGUCACAGCAGUAUGGGGAAAGAAUGUUUCAUUAAAGUGUUUAAUUGAAGUAAAUGAAACCAUAACACAGAUUUCAUGGGAGAAGAUACAUGGCAAAAGUUCACAGACUGUUGCAGUUCACCAUCCCCAAUAUGGAUUCUCUGUUCAAGGAGAAUAUCAGGGAAGAGUCUUGUUUAAAAAUUACUCACUUAAUGAUGCAACAAUUACUCUGCAUAACAUAGGAUUCUCUGAUUCUGGAAAAUACAUCUGCAAAGCUGUUACAUUCCCGCUUGGAAAUGCCCAGUCCUCUACAACUGUAACUGUGUUAGUUGAACCCACUGUGAGCCUGAUAAAAGGGCCAGAUUCUUUAAUUGAUGGAGGAAAUGAAACAGUAGCAGCCAUUUGCAUCGCAGCCACUGGAAAACCCGUUGCACAUAUUGACUGGGAAGGUGAUCUUGGUGAAAUGGAAUCCACUACAACUUCUUUUCCAAAUGAAACGGCAACGAUUAUCAGCCAGUACAAGCUAUUUCCAACCAGAUUUGCUAGAGGAAGGCGAAUUACUUGUGUUGUAAAACAUCCAGCCUUGGAAAAGGACAUCCGAUACUCUUUCAUAUUAGACAUACAGUAUGCUCCUGAAGUUUCGGUAACAGGAUAUGAUGGAAAUUGGUUUGUAGGAAGAAAAGGUGUUAAUCUCAAAUGUAAUGCUGAUGCAAAUCCACCACCCUUCAAAUCUGUGUGGAGCAGGUAAUGUUGGAUGGACAAUGGCCUGAUGGUUUAUUGGCUUCAGACAAUACUCUUCAUUUUGUCCAUCCAUUGACUUUCAAUUAUUCUGGUGUUUAUAUCUGUAAAGUGACCAAUUCCCUUGGUCAAAGAAGUGACCAAAAAGUCAUCUACAUUUCAGAUCCUCCUACUACUACCACCCUUCAGCCUACAAUUCAGUGGCAUCCCUCAACUGCUGACAUCGAGGAUCUAGCAACAGAACCUAAAAAAUUGCCCUUCCCAUUGUCAACUUUGGCAACAAUUAAGGAUGACACAAUUGCCACGAUCAUUGCUAGUGUAGUGGGUGGGGCUCUCUUCAUAGUACUUGUAAGUGUUUUGGCUGGAAUAUUCUGCUAUAGGAGAAGACGGACGUUUCGUGGAGACUACUUUGCCAAGAACUACAUUCCACCAUCAGAUAUGCAAAAAGAAUCACAAAUAGAUGUUCUUCAACAAGAUGAGCUUGAUUCUUACCCAGACAGUGU
rnacentral:lncRNA from 1 species